GGUCUCGCAAGGGCAGAGGCGGGUUGGUUUCUAAGCUCUCGUAGCACCGCGCCAGGGACCCCCGCAGGUAUCGCCCCUUCGCAGCCGCGCUGGCCCGAGGCCGCCGAAGGGAAGGGGCCGAGAAGCCGCCCCUGCCCCCGCCAGCGCCGAGUGGCCCCGGGGUUGUGCUCAGAGCCCCACGGGCUGGGGGGGAUGUGCCCCGGCGGUGCUUUCUCAGAGCUGGGAGAUAGCGAAGCGCUGCCGUGUCGGUGACGGGGCAGUGCUGCUUUGCCACUUUUGCUGCCGCCGUGCAACAGGCGCAUUCCUGGGCUGUGCUGAGGCAGCAGCGCGGCUCUGACCGCCGUUCGCUCCCCUACGAGGUGUGCGGUGCAGCCGGAGCGGGGCCCGGCGGGCCGGGCGCGUCGUGCUCCGGGGUGAGCCCCGCGUGCUCUCUCGGGCCUGGAAUGGGCUGCGGGAAAAAGCUGAAGGGGAAGGACUGAGGUCUGCUAAGUGUUGUUCCUCCUGAGAGUAAGCACCAUUGUGUUGAAGAGUCUGCAAGAGUAUCUGAGACGUCCAUAGCCUAUCUGAUACUGGGCUUUGUGGGAAACUUUCUGGACAUUUCAGUGGGAUAUUGAACAGGGCACCAGUAAUAAGAAUGAUUGACUGUGACCAACCUGUACUAUAUUUGAGUUGGAGAAUUAGGCAAUGGAGACCUCUGCAUCCAGUUUCUAAUCCUAUGUGAUGUUCUGUGACCGGUAUAGAAAAACCUAAGAAAUCUGCUGUUGCUGAUGUGCCGUGCAACCAAAGAGCUGGAGUCGUGGGAGAAGUUUGCUUGCUCUCAUCUCUGUAAUGACGUAUCUGGAUAUGUACUUGAAAGCUCAUCCUCAUUUUGAGGGUAUUUGAGAUGGAUGCAAAAGGAAGAAUACUGAAUUAUGUACGUUUUGUUGUUUCCCGAGUAAAUGAUUUUGAACUGAAAGAACAAAAAUGAAGAAAUGUUCUUUUCUUGUCCAUACUACUAAAGUCUUGUUUUAUAUCAACACUGUUCAAAUACUAAAAAGUGGGGAAAACUUGUUCAAAAAGGUUUAUCACAUAUUUCAUUGCUGGCAGUUGCUGCUGUUCUUACCGUAAAGAGGGCUGUUGGGUAUCUGAAGCAAAUUCAUGUAUGUGGGCUAUAGAAAUAUAAAGUCAAAUGCCCUUUGUGUAUUUUCUGGAAAAAUAAAGAUAGUUGUUUUAAAUUGAAAAA